rnacentral:rRNA from 1 species
AGGAUGAACGCUGGCGGCGUGCCUAAUACAUGCAAGUCGAACGAGCUCUUCGGAGCUAGUGGCGGACGGGUGAGUAACACGUUGGUACCUACCCCGAAGUGGGGAAUAACUGCCCGAAAGGGUGGCUAAUACCGCAUAAUACCGCAAGGUUAAAGCGAGUAAUCGCGCUUCGGGAGGGGCCUGCGUCCCAUUAGCUAGUUGGUAGGGUAAUGGCCUACCAAGGCGACGAUGGGUAGCUGGGUCGAGAGGUUGACCAGCCACACUGGGACUGAGAUACGGCCCCAGACUCCUACGGGAGGCAGCAGUAAGGAAUCUUCCACAAUGGACGAAAGUCUGAUGGAGCAACGCCGCGUGCAGGAUGACGGUCUUCGGAUUGUAAACUGUCUUUUAUAUGGGAAGAUUAUGACGGUACCAUAUAGAAUAAGGACCGGACUAACUACGUGCCAGCAGCCGC